UACGUAGGGUGCAAGCGUUAUCCGGAAUUAUUGGGCGUAAAGAGCUCGUAGGCGGUUUGUCGCGUCUGCUGUGAAAUCCCGGGGCUUAACCCCGGGCGUGCAGUGGAUACGGGCAGGCUGGAGGCAGGCAGGGGAGAACGGAAUUCCCGGUGUAGCGGUGAAAUGCGCAGAUAUCUGGAGGAACACCGGUGGCGAAGGCGGCAUCCUGGACCGACACUGACGCUGAGGAGCGAAAGCCAGGGGAGCAAACGGG
rnacentral:rRNA from 1 species